rnacentral:rRNA from 1 species
CCUACGGGUGGCUGCAGUGAGGAAUAUUGGACAAUGGAUGGAAAUCUGAUCCAGUCAUGCCGCGUGCAGGAAGACUGCCUUAUGGGUUGUAAACUGCUUUUAUACGGGAGCAAUAAGGGUUACGUGUAGCCUGAUGAGAGUACUGUAUGAAUAAGGAUCGGCUAACUCCGUGCCAGCAGCCGCGGUAAUACGGAGGAUCCGAGCGUUAUCCGGAAUUAUUGGGUUUAAAGGGUGCGUAGGCGGCUAUUUAAGUCAGCGGUGAAAUUUUGCAGCUUAACUGUAACAGUGCCGUUGAAACUGUUUAGCUAGGAUUUGGUUGCAGUGUGCGGAAUGUGUGGUGUAGCGGUGAAAUGCUUAGAUAUCACACAGAACACCAAUUGCGAAGGCAGCACACUAAGUCAAUAUUGACGCUGAGGCACGAAAGUGUGGGGAUCAAACAGGAUUAGAUACCCCGGUAGUC